rnacentral:rRNA from 1 species
UAGAGUUUGAUCCUGGCUCAGAACGAACGCUGGCGGCAGGCUUAACACAUGCAAGUCGAGCGCCCCGCAAGGGGAGCGGCAGACGGGUGAGUAACGCGUGGGAAUCUACCUUUUGCUACGGAAUAACUCAGGGAAACUUGUGCUAAUACCGUAUGUGCCCUUCGGGGGAAAGAUUUAUCGGCAAAGGAUGAGCCCGCGUUGGAUUAGCUAGUUGGUGGGGUAAAGGCCCACCAAGGCGACGAUCCAUAGCUGGUCUGAGAGGAUGAUCAGCCACACUGGGACUGAGACACGGCCCAGACUCCUACGGGAGGCAGCAGUGGGGAAUAUUGGACAAUGGGCGCAGCCUGAUCCAGCCAUGCCGCGUGAGUGAUGAAGGCCCUAGGGUUGUAAAGCUCUUUCACCGGUGAAGAUAAUGACGGUAACCGGAGAAGAAGCCCCGGCUAACUUCGUGCCAGCAGCCGCGGUAA